UCUUUUGAGAAUGGUCACCGUAAGUGGCAUGAUUUGGUAACCGGAGGUCCUGAGCACAAAGGUUCUCAAACCUGAACAGAUAUCGGAACCACCCACCUGGAGGGCUGGGCACACUGAUUGUUUCCCGAGUUUCUAACUGAGUAAGUCUUGUGGGGAUUGGGGGCAAGAAUGCGCAUUUCUAGCAUUCUAGGCGGAGUCCCAGGUGAUGCUGACCAUUGUGCUGCUUAGUUCAGUCCACUACUUCUGGACCACACCCCAGAGCUGAAGAGGAAAGGAGCGACUUAUGCCUGCAGAUUCCCAAGAUUAACUGGCGUUCUGUAGGUCGGCACAAAGUCGUGGCUUUGCCAUCUGACGGAGGACGCGCAGCGGUCGUCUCUGGCUGGGUAGACUGAGACCUGAACGCUGAGGGACUUAGGACCAGCAGUGCCGUCCAGGCCUGGCUGCAGACGGAAACUACUUCAAGAUAAGCUCCACCAAAAAUAGAGAGGAAAUCAAGAAGAUUAAGACGCAGGAUCCAGCGCAACGCUCCAGCACAGGAGAGACCAAAAGAACGUUUGACAAUCCACUGACUUCCUAGAAAACAGAAGAGUGGGCUGGGCAUGGUGGCUCACGCCUGUAAUCCCAGCACUCUGGGAGGCUGAGGUGGGUGGAUUACCUGAGAUCA
rnacentral:lncRNA from 1 species